rnacentral:rRNA from 1 species
UACGUAGGGUGCAAGCGUUAAUCGGAAUUACUGGGCGUAAAGCGUGCGCAGGCGGUGAUGUAAGACAGAUGUGAAAUCCCCGGGCUCAACCUGGGAACUGCAUUUGUGACUGCAUGGCUAGAGUACGGUAGAGGGGGAUGGAAUUCCGCGUGUAGCAGUGAAAUGCGUAGAUAUGCGGAGGAACACCGAUGGCGAAGGCAAUCCCCUGGACCUGUACUGACGCUCAUGCACGAAAGGCGUGGGGAGCAAACAGG